UGACCGUCACAGGUCCUAUUCGAGGUCCCGAUCACGGAGUCCCUACAGAAGAAGAGGAAGGACCAGUCGGCGACGUCGUUCUUACUCCAGGAGUCCUUCUCCACGCCGUCGUUACUCUCGAAGUGUGUCCCCCCGCUAUCGUCAUUCACGGAGUAUGUCUGUUCUUGUAUUGUAGGGGCUCGCUAUUAGUCGGGUUUUAUCAGUACUUUAAUUCAUUCAUUUGGUUAAUAAAUUUCCGUCUUGUU